rnacentral:lncRNA from 1 species
UGGUGGUUUCCUCCAUGGCACUGGACUUCCUACUGAUGGCCUGGCCACCCGCAUGGGAGGCUUCAGUAAUGAAAAGGAGAAGCUAGCAGGGCAUCAGCACACCCUUCCCUAACUGUUGGGAAAAGGGCUGAAAAGUGAAUUUUCCACAAAGACUUUUCAGGCAUGAAAGCACUGCGUUUUGAAAGCCAUGGAAGCCCAAGCAAAGCAAAAUGUACCUCUACUCAAAUGAGUUCAUUGGUGGUCGGGUCUUGGAGAAAAGGACUGUCUGCAGAUAGCCAAAGGAGCUCGUCAUUCGUUCGACAUCACAGGGAUCCUCUGCCAUCAUGCGAAAUGCACAGACCGCAAGUUGGCUUUUCUUUGCUGGCUCUUAAACCAGCGCCGUGCACACCAACAAUGCCCGUCAUUGUCUCUUGGGAGCUUUGUACACCCCUAAAGUGACAAAAGGGAAC